rnacentral:lncRNA from 1 species
ACGUAUUGUUUACACAUAUUAAUACUUUACUUUCUUUUUUAAGUUUACUUUUUUUCUGUUUUUAAACAAAAUUGUCUACAUAUAUUUGUUAACAGUUAUACAACACAUGGGUUUUUUAUACAGUUUUUAUUUGAUUUAGUUAUAAUAUAUAUAUAUAUAUAAAUAGAUAUUUGAAUGAAUUUAAAUAUUAAGAAAUAAACGUAAAAAUUAUGAUACAAUCAGAACAAAGGGUAUGAGGAUUUUUUUUUUUUUAUUAUAAAGAAUACAUAUGUUUUUGCUAAAACGUAAAGUGAACGUAUGUUUUUAAAUUGUAAAUUGUUUAGGUAAAACAUUUAAAAAUAAGAGGUUGUUAUUGUAGUAUAAGAAAAAAAAAAAAAAAAAAAAAAAAAUGGAAGUUAAAAAAAGUAAAAACAACAGUAUUAGCAAACAGAACAGUAUUAACAAACAGAACAGUAUUAACAAACAGAACAGUAUUAGAAAACAAAACAGUAUUAGCAAACAGAAUAGUAUUAGCAAAAACAAAAGUAUUAGUAAAAAGAACAGUAUUAAUAACCAAAAUGAAAAUAAACUAAACAAAACGUCAUAUAUAAACACAAAUCAUAAACAUAACAAUUCUGAUAUAUCAUUUUAUGACAACAAAUUAAAUAAUAAAAGUGAUGAUACAAAUUAUAGUGUCUUAAGUAAUAGUGAUGAAAAUAUAUCUUAUGAUGAUUCAUCAAAUUAUGACAGUGCAAACAAAUCUAAUGACUACUUAACUGAAUUUUGUUUAUAUAACGAAAUUAAUAAUCAUAAAUAUAAUAAUAACUUAUACGAUUUUUAUUUAAAUAAGUUUAAUAACGAUUUAAAUGAAAGACAUAAUAAACAAGCGUUUAGUUCAAGCUAUAUUAAAAAUAACUCAAAUUUACCAAAUCAAAAGAACUUAAGUAAAAGUGAAAAACAAAAUGAUAAAAAAUAUAUUAAUGAAAAAAUAAAUUUAUCAUUUGAAGAAAGUAAAAAAAGCAAAAAAAAAAAAAAACAAAAAAAAAAACAAAAAAAAAACAGGGUCAAACAAAACGGAAAACAGAAUAUCUAUCAUGCGAAAUGGUACCAGUGUUCUGCUAUAAACGUUAUUGACAGUAGUGAUAAUAAUGAAAUUACAGAUAACGUGUUAGAACAAACAAAAUUACACAAAUCAAACGAUUCAUUAAACGAAUUGUUAAAUAAU